GACGAACGCUGGCGGCGUGCUUAACACAUGCAAGUCGAACGGAAAGGCCUGCUUUCCCUUGUGGAUUGCGGGUACUCGAGUGGCGAACGGGUGAGUAACACGUGAGUGAUCUGCCCCCAACUUGGGUAUAAGCCUGGGAAACUGGGUCUAAUUCCCGAUAGGACUGCAGGGUGGUGCCUGUGGUGGAAAACGAUUUUCUAGUGGUUGGGGAUGAGCUCGCGGCCUAUCAGCUUGUUGGUGGGGUAAUGGCCUACCAAGGCGGCGACGGGUAGCCGGCCUGGGAGGGCGGGCGGGCGCAGUGGGACGGAGAUACGGCCCAGACGCCUACGGGCGGCAGCCGUGGGGAAGAUUGCACAAGGGGCGGAAGCCUGAUGCAGGGACGCCGCGUGGGGGAUGACGGCCUUCGGGUUGUAAACUCCUUGCGACCGCGAGGAAGCCACCUGGUUGGAAGGGUGGUGACGGUAGUGGUAGAAGAAGCACCGGCUAACUACGUG
rnacentral:rRNA from 1 species